rnacentral:rRNA from 1 species
AACGAACGCUGGCGGCGCGCUUAACACAUGCAAGUCGAACGAGAAGGCGUAGCAAUACGCUUGUACAGUGGCGAACGGGUGAGGAAUACAUGGGUAACCUACCCUCGAGUGGGGGAUAACCCGCCGAAAGGCGGGCUAAUACCGCGUACGCUUCCGAUCUUGCGGGAUCGGAAGGAAAGCUGUCCCUUGGGGAUGGCGCUCAAGGAUGGGCUCAUGUCCUAUCAGCUUGCGGUAGGGUAACGGCCUACCAAGGCAUCGACGGGUAGCUGGUCUGAGAGGACGAUCAGCCACACUGGCACUGCGACACGGGCCAGACUCCUACGGGAGGCAGCAGUGAGGAAUAUUGCGCAAUGGGCGAAAGACCUGACGCAGCGACGCCGCGUGGGGGA